rnacentral:lncRNA from 1 species
CCGGGAGGUGUCUGGAUCACCCACGACCACUGUGAAACAAGCUAGUCCAUCCUAGGGAGUUGGCGCCACAUCUGGGAAGAUGGGCAGGAAGAAGGGACCAAACAGAAGAGGUGUGGAACGGCUGGCCAUAAGGGGGAAACCGAGGACCUUCCGCCGUCUGCUAGCUGUUUGGUGAUGGUUAGAAGCCCUCAGCUGGCCAAGGGCCACCGGGCAGGAUGAGAGGUAAUUAUCUGAACAAUGAA